UUUUACUCUUGAUUCUGAUCCGAUUUACAUAAGCAAAUGAAUUUAUUCUUUGGAUUAAACCGUUUGGAAAUACAGAUCGUUAUUGGUUCCAUGAAAGCCAAAUGAUUAAGACAGCUGAAUAUUGGAAGUUCGAGCUGGUUUCGAUCCUCGGCGAAUGGGCUGGCUGCAAAGUUUGUUGUUUGUGGUUUUCGCCAUGUGUAACAUGAAUACAAGCCAAUUUCCCGUUGAAAACCAACCACGAAAGCAUAGCUCCCCAUAGGCGCUCUUGUGUCCUUUUUCCUUUGCUACUGUGUGUUUUUCAAAUUAUGCAACUAUUUUACGAGGUUGUCAUUGAUGCUCAUGUCCGAAGCAUGUAUCUACUAGAACGGUUUUAUGAAUAAUCAUAUGGGGGUCAAAAACAGGAAGGGAUGCUUCUGUCUUUGGUUGGAGGCUUUUGGGAGAUGUGAUAACAGAGCCCUUCUAACUAGCUAUUCCUAGCUUCGAUAAUACUUGUGAGUCUAAGUGCCUGAUAUUCCGCUUUCUUUAUCCCGAGCUCUCGACAGAUUAACGGAGUUAAGGCAAAGACACCAUGCAGUCUCAUCAGUGCAUAAUCGGAAAUUCAACGAUAUGGCAGCUAGCUUUUAUAAAUGUAUACCAUUUUGGACGACAUAUAUUUUGUUAUUAACAAGUGUUUUUAGAUAACAGAAAUAAAAAAUUUCAUAAGGUGUUAUUAGAUUUUUUUCAUAAGGUGUUAUUAGAUUUUUGUUUUUAUUAUGCAAUGAAAGUACUGAAUGAAGUCGUAUUUUGUAUUUUGUUAAAUUUGUUUAUCUUUCUGUCCGAUGAGAAUGAACUUGAAAAAACAUAUUUGUUUCACUGUUGAAUGAGUACAGCCUAACCUUGUAAGGUCUUUUGCCACAAUUUUGUAAUAAUGUGUGGAGAUAAAAUAAAUUAUACAUUAGCCGGUGCAAAUUUUCCUAUUUUGUUACAUUACUCGCAAAAACAUCAUUCAGCCGAGUAUCCAUAAACAACUAAAUGACCAUCUGAAGUUUUAUUUCCCAGUAAUUUUACUUAAUACGCAUGUUCAGCAAGCGUAAACAUUCGCAUAGGUCUCCGACCGACAUCCGUUAACCUUACCUUUACUAAUCUCACUUAAUAACCGAUCUUCGUGUACCAUUGCACUUUGCGGAAGAAGCAGCCCGAGCGUGAGAUUUCGUUGUAAACUAGGCACAGAUCCUGUUGUUUGACUCAUUAACACCCAAAGGAACAAUAACAAAAAUAAGUGACAAAAAGCGUAAAAAUAAAAUCAAAAAUCACGUUAGAGUUGUGCAGGGUACACGUUUCCUGGUAACGAAAGGAUAAUGCGGCGCUGGUAGUCUGUUUAUUUCGAAACACCUGCAAACAAGCUAUCCUUUUCGUUAACCGCAAAUAAAGCGGUUUGUCAUUGAUGGGUGGAGGAAAAUGUAAAAAAAAAAAAAAAAAAAAAAAAAAAAAAAAAAAAAA